rnacentral:lncRNA from 1 species
CUCUGUCCCUUCCCUCAACUUCGAGCGAGGGGCAGAGGUUGCGGCGAAGUCGCUAACACCUCGCUCGCAUUUCCCAAGGCAUCUGGAGUACAGACACCUGCCAUCAGGUGUUGGAGCACCGCGCCUUCCUGCUCUCCGGCCCGGUGCGCGGCAGCGACGGCUCGGGUGCAUUAUACAUGAAGUGGUGGCAGUCUGGCAGGAAACAAAUGGAUAUUUUCUGGCAUGCUUCAUUCAGGGCUGGAGAAGCCACUGCAACCUGAAGGUAUCUGGAACCAGCUAAAACAUCAUUAAUGUGAACAGUUUUUGUAAGAUAUUGCCUCUUACCAUUAUUCUGAGCCUAAAUUCAGCAGCAUUUGGUUAUUGAACUAGAAACUUGGAUAUAUAAAAGUGCCU